AUGAAACCCAGGCUGGUGAUUGUUUUAACUCUGAACUGUUGCAAAUCUGUUGUUUCAUCAUAGGUCACACUUGGCUAUGCUCAGAGUUUACUCCUGACUCUGCUCAAAGAUCAUUCUUGGAGUAUCUGCAGGACUAUGUGAAGUAUUCAAGAUGGAACUGGUGUGAAUCUUGUGCAAGGAAACUUCUUAAUUCCGUUGGCAUUCCGACCUUUGUCGAUGAUGAAGAAUCAGGAACAUUGUCUCGUUUGCCAAGGCAUCGAAAAUCAGAUGGGCCAGACACGUAAUGUGAUUUAGAGAUGACCCCUGGACUAGAGCUGCUACCAACUGGAUUCCCCGGGAUGUCAAAAGACCACGUGGCUGCCCACCUACGAGAUGGUCAGAUUUCUUCAUCAAGACCCUGAAUGAAUGGGUUGAGGGUCUUCAUGUUCCUUUGUUUUUUUGACAGGAAAUAACUGAUUUAAUAAAUUAACAUUUAGGGAUAUAUGUUCA